UAAUGUUGAGUUCUAAGGAUGCCAUGC
rnacentral:piRNA from 1 species